CGCUGGCUGAACCGGGGGCCCUCCUCACCACCAUAAUGCCCCCCUUUGGCUACUCUCAUCCUGACUGGUAGACUCCGCCUGCUUACCUUCCAAAAUAAUGGGGGAUGCAGCCUUAGAUCUUCAAUGAGGCUGCUCCUGUGAGAUAUAUUAUGGUUUAUGGUGGGAAUGUCGUGAGCAGCUUCCUCAUGUAAUCUGGAGAUAUUCCUAGACAGAUAAUACUUCAAAUGAACCAGCCGGCUAUUUGGGUUUGCCAGUUAAGAGAUGCCGCAAAGUAAGAGCCGGGAGCGGACCGCGAGCGCUUUGCGCCUAUACACUUUCCUGGGUACGAAGGCCUGCGGGCGUCGUACCCAGGCCUCGCCCCGUAAUACCACGAGCCGGGCCUGCCUAGGCUAAGCGCCCGCCCAACCCACUACCGAAGGCGGGAGAAGGUCGCCUCACCGUUUCCAUCCGUCGCAAAGGAAGAGCAGAACAACGCCAGGGGAAAAAGGGAAAUGACCGCAAGUAGAGAACUCCGGUUAAUCAUCCUCUCAAAGAAGAAAACGUUCGCCGUCCGCAGCGGAGGAGGCUGGAAGGAGCCGGCGGGGCGGUUGAACCAGGCCUAGGGAAGUGGUUCGCGCGCCCUCCCGCAGCAGCUUCUUGGAACUCGGCCUCCGCCGACGCGUGAAAGGUCCGAGUUGCGGACCAAGGGAAGAGAAAGGGAGAGAGGUUUUAAUCCGCUUCCCUGCGGUUAUUUACCAAUUGCCAGGAUGCGAUUCUAAUCCCCGUGAAGUAAUCGAUUUAUACGCCGCUUAUCUUCCUGUAUCUUUUUAACACGCAUGAAAUUGGUGAAAUAGGACUUAUUGAAUGGAAUGGACAAAGAAACAGACGACGAAGGAGACCGAGUUACAGGGGUCCAUGAUAGACUUUUAAUCUUUGCCUGUCUGAAGCCCAUUAGCUGCCAUUAAGUAUAGACAACUCUGAGUCACACUAGUGGUCUGAUUCAUGUAAGAGGAUUUCUAUAUAUUAUGAAGGAAAAGGAAGCAUGACAGAUAGCUUUAUGCAUAUAUAAGAAAGGUAAACAAAUAAAUGUAUUUAUAGCCUAGA